GCAUAUUCGCCCCAUAGGGUUACACUGUAGAGUCAUCUGACAAUAGUAUCCAAUAUGGUGCCCAUGAUUUGAGUUGGCCAAACUCUCUACAAUAUACGGCUCUUCCCCAUGGCAGAGCUGGCCUUUCCUGUUACUAGCCGCCAGCUGCAUCUCAUCAUCUAAUGAGUCUCUGUGUACAACUACAGGCUACUAUUUGGCAUGCAAUGUUCCCUUGGUCACAUAUUUGAGAUUUAACUCAAAAAUGCAACAGCAACUUAAUUCAUAACACACAAUUUAGAAAGUGCAUGAGUGCACUGCAUUUUGAAUAAAAAGUCAACUGAAAUUUGCACCUAUUUUUUAUCACUGUAAAAAGAAAAGACCAUUUCAGCUGUUGUACCAUCUUGUGGGACUUUUUUAGGAGGUUAACCUAAACACUAAAAGAGCUCCGGAGGAACCACGCUAAUAAUGACUGAGCACCAUGGUGGCCAGUUCAAGAAAAGUGACAGAGGUGCCUGGAGGCCUUGCUGCAUCUUCUCAGGCUUUAUUAUUAAAUCCUAAUUUACUGCACACUGAUGAUGUUGGAUUAAUGUAGUAAGUAAGGAGCAGAGGGCCUCCCGCUUCCAGAUCAUGUGGUGCCUAGUCUCGCAUUGCCAGACUCUCCUCCACAGCUCUGUGGGGAGCAUCUGGCAAGUCCACACAACAUUCAAGGAUGGGAGAAAAACGUGCUUUGGUUUAUUGGCAUUUCUUUAAACCAAUCACAAACGUCUUGGACGGCGCUAAGCCCCGUACGGAGCCACGGUGCCUCUGACAAAUGAAGCUCAACCUGUCUUUUCAGGAAUAGAGUGCGUCCCGCCUCCUCCCCUAAACCACCAGUCGUCUCACCCACAUAAUCCCGGGGAUCGUCCGCUGUAUGGCUAUCUUGAUUGGUUCCUGGGCACCUUCUUCACCACCACCAGUGUCUGGACUCCAUUGGGGGAUAUGUUUGGGUUCACUACCCUAUUUAUAACAUAUGGAUUCGAUGGAGUCUAAUCUCCAGAGACUUUGCACAUUUCAUUUUCAUAUU